rnacentral:rRNA from 1 species
UACGAGGGGGGCAAGCGUUGUUCGGAAUUACUGGGCGUAAAGGGUGCGUAGGUGGUUUGUUAAGUCUGCUGUGAAAUCCCCGGGCUCAACCUGGGAAUGGCAGUGGAUACUGGCAAGCUAGAGUGCGGUAGAGGGUAGUGGAAUUCCCGGUGUAGCAGUGAAAUGCGUAGAGAUCGGGAGGAACACCAGUGGCGAAGGCGGCUACCUGGACCAGCACUGACACUGAAGCACGAAAGCGUGGGGAGCAAACAGG